CUAUGCGCCUUGCCAGCCCGCUCAGUCAGAGUUUGAUCCUGGCUCAGGAUCAACGCUGGCGGCGUGCCUAAUGCAUGCAAGUCGCACGGGGUGGCCUUCGGGUCACUUACGUGGCGGACGGGUGAGGAACACGUGGGCAACCUGCCCGGUGGUGGGGGCUAGCCUUCGGAAACGGAGGGUAAUUCCGCAUAAGCUGGUCACUCGCGUGGGAGUGGUCAGGAAAGGUCUUCGGACCGCCGCCGGAGGGGUCUGCGUCCGAUUAGUUAGUUGGUGGGGUAACGGCUCACCAAGGCGAUGAUCGGUAGCUGGUUUGAGAGGAUGAUCAGCCACACGGGGACUGAGACACGGCCCCG
rnacentral:rRNA from 1 species